UAAAAGUUUUAUUCUGGUUUAGAAAUUAAUUUUUAUUUUUAUUUAUAUGUAAAUUUUAGUAGGAAAUAUUAAUAUUUAAAUAAUUAUUUUUAUUAAUCGCAGUAAAUAAUAUUAAAAUUUAAAGAAAUUUAGAUUUAGAAAUAAUAUUUAAUAUAAACAAAAUUUGUGCCAGCAGUUGCGGUUAAACAGAUUAUGUAAAUUAAUUUAUUAAUAAUUUAAUUAAUUUAAUAAUUAUUUUAUUUUAAUAAUAAGAUUAUUAGGUGAAAUUUUAAUUUUAUUUUAAUAUUUUUUUUGUUUAUGAUUUAAGAAAUUUAAGGUUUAAACUAGGAUUAGAUACCCUACUAUUUUAAAAGUUAAUUAUUUAAAUUUAGAUUAUUAUUAGUUAUGAUCUUAAAAAUUAAAGAUUUUGGCGGUAUUUUAGUCUAUUCAGAGGAACCUGUUUUUUAAUUGAUAUUCCACGAUUUAAUUUACUUUUAUUAUAUUUGUAUAUCGUUGUAGUUUGAAUAUUUUAUAAGAAUAUUAAUGUUCAGAAAAUUAUAAUAAUUUAAAAUCAAAUCAAGAUGCAGUUUAUAUAAAAGUUAAAAUGGGUUACAUUAAUUUAAAUUUCAUAAUUUAGUUUUUAAAGUUUUAGGAAGAUGGAUUUGAUAGUAAUUUAAAAAAAAUUUUUUAAAUGAUUUAGUUCUAAAAUAUGUACAUAUCGCCCGUCGCUUUCAUUUAAAAUGAAAUAAGUCGUAACAAAGUAGAUGUACUGGAAAGUGUAUCUAGAAAGAU
rnacentral:ncRNA from 1 species